rnacentral:rRNA from 1 species
AGCAGCCGCGGUAAUUCCAGCUCCAAUAGCGUAUAUUAAAGUUGUUGCAGUUAAAAAGCUCGUAGUUGAAUUUCGAGACCGGUCUACUGGUCGUGCUUUUGUACGUACUGGUAUUAUUGGUUUCUCCUUUCUGACGAAUCUUAAUGCCAUUAAUUUGGUGUUUUGGGGAAUCAGGACUGUUACUUUGAAAAAAUUAGAGUGUUUAAAGCAGGCUCACGCUUGAAUACAUUAGCAUGGAAUAACGAAAUAGGACGUUUGAUUUUAUUUUGUUGGUUUCUAGGAUCGACGUAAUGAUUAAUAGGGAUAGUUGGGGGCAUUAGUAUUCAAUUGUCAGAGGUGAAAUUCUUGGAUUUAUUGAAGACUAACUACUGCGAAAGCAUUUGCCAAGGAUGUUUUCAUUAAUCAAGAACGAAAGUUAGGGGAUCGAAGACGAUCAGAUACCGUCGUAGUCUUAACCAUAAACCUAUGCCGACUAGGGAUCGGAUGAUGUUAAUUUUUAAUGACUCAUUCGGCGCCUUAC